rnacentral:rRNA from 1 species
CCUACGGGGGGCAGCAGUGAGGAAUAUUGGUCAAUGGGCUAAGGCCUGAACCAGCCAAGUCGCGUGAGGGAAGACGGUCCUAUGGAUUGUAAACCUCUUUUGUCGGGGAGCAACGAGGCCACGUGUGGCCGAAGUGAGAGUACCCGAAGAAAAAGCAUCGGCUAACUCCGUGCCAGCAGCCGCGGUAAUACGGAGGAUGCGAGCGUUAUCCGGAUUUAUUGGGUUUAAAGGGUGCGUAGGCGGAACAUUAAGUCAGCGGUAAAAUCGAGGGGCUCAACCCCUUUAAGCCGUUGAAACUGGUGAUCUUGAGUGGGCGAGAAGUAUGCGGAAUGCGUGGUGUAGCGGUGAAAUGCAUAGAUAUCACGCAGAACUCCGAUUGCGAAGGCAGCAUACCGGCGCCCGACUGACGCUGAGGCACGAAAGCGUGGGGAUCGAACA